rnacentral:sRNA from 1 species
UUGAUACAUCAAUUGGGCCUCAGUGAUCAACCGGCCCAUUUCAAGGAAUAACGACCCAGCCCGACCAUCACUUUAGAACUCGAGCCGGCCCAGCAGGCCGAAGCCCGGCCUGGUCAGGAUGUGAGUUCAGCUGCGUAGAAAAGGGGGGCA